AGAGCCUGAAUCAGUGUGUGUGUUAGUGGAAGCGUCUGGAAAGGCGUGCGAUACAGGGUGACAGCCCCGUACACAAAAAUGCACAUAUUGUGAGCUUGAUGAGUAGGGCGGGACACGUGGUAUCCUGUCUGAAUAUGGGGGGACCAUCCUCCAAGGCUAAAUACUCCUGACUGACCGAUAGUGAACCAGUACCGUGAGGGAAAGGCGAAAAGAACCCCGGCGAGGGGAGUGAAAAAGAACCUGAAACCGUGUACGUACAAGCAGUGGGAGCACGCUUAGGCGUGUGACUGCGUACCUUUUGUAUAAUGGGUCAGCGACUUAUAUUCUGUAGCAAGGUUAACCGAAUAGGGGAGCCGAAGGGAAACCGAGUCUUAACUGGGCGUUAAGUUGCAGGGUAUAGACCCGAAACCCGGUGAUCUAGCCAUGGGCAGGUUGAAGGUUGGGUAACACUAACUGGAGGACCGAACCGACUAAUGUUGAAAAAUUAGCGGAUGACUUGUGGCUGGGGGUGAAAGGCCAAUCAAACCGGGAGAUAGCUGGUUCUCCCCGAAAGCUAUUUAGGUAGCGCCUCGUGAAUUCAUCUCCGGGGGUAGAGCACUGUUUCGGCAAGGGGGUCAUCCCGACUUACCAACCCGAUGCAAACUGCGAAUACCGGAGAAUGUUAUCACGGGAGACACACGGCGGGUGCUAACGUCCGUCGUGAAGAGGGAAACAACCCAGACCGCCAGCUAAGGUCCCAAAGUCAUGGUUAAGUGGGAAACGAUGUGGGAAGGCCCAGACAGCCAGGAUGUUGGCUUAGAAGCAGCCAUCAUUUAAAGAAAGCGUAAUAGCUCACUGGUCGAGUCGGCCUGCGCGGAAGAUGUAACGGGGCUAAACCAU
rnacentral:rRNA from 1 species